UUUUAAACAAAGAAAUGGAAGGAAACUUAUAAAUAUGAGUAGUUAAAAGGAUCAAAAGGAGAAUAUGCAGGUUCAGGGGCAGGAAGGAAAGGAUUAUGGGCCAUCUAAGUUGAAAAUGGGCUGUAAGAAACAGGAGCCUCUGUUGGCUUUCGCAGGUCUGCUUUAACUUGGGCUAACUGUUUUUUCAGCCUUCUGAUUUCCUGUUCCUUCUGGUUAAACUCUGCACCAAACCUCCUUUGCUGGAUUGAGGAUCUUAAGUCCUUAUCAAGCUGGCCAAUUCUGCUUUGCAAAUCUUUGUACAUGUGCUGAGCAAAUGCAG
rnacentral:misc_RNA from 1 species